CCCGUCAUGAAUCCUACCGUGGUAUCGUCUCCUUACAACUAUUUGUAAAAUUCCCAUGGUGUGACGGGCGAGGUGUGGCAAGACCUGAACGUGAGCUCGCCGCGACUACGCUGAACCCGCGAUUACUAGCGAUUCUGAUUACGCAGGGGUAAGACCAGAUCGCCCAUGACUGGUCGGGAUUAAUUUCCUUCUUCUCGCGGGUUGGCGACCCUCUGUCCUGACCACAUGACGUGAAAGCCCUUCCAUAUAAGGGCCAUGACUUGACGUCAUCCCAUCCGGCUUUGUCACCGGCAAGUCUCAUUAUUUUUCGUAGCAACUAAUGAUUGCGGGUUGCGUGUUCGCUGUUCUAACCUACCGAUAUUCACGACACGAGCUGACGAUUGCCAUGCAGCACCUGUGUUCCGGUUCGCGGCCUCCCAAAUUUUUCGGAGCAGACAUGUCGGGGCAGUAGUAGCGUUUUUCGCGCCGCAUCGAAUUAAUCCACCGGCUUGCUUGAGUUUUGUGACCGCCCCAGGCGGUCAAGCCACGCGUUAGCUGCAGCACAGCGCCCGAAGGCCCCCAACAGCUAGUUGACAUCGUUUAGGCGUGGAUCACCAGGGUAUCUAAUCCUGUUUGCCUCACGCUUUCGUGCAUGAGCGUCAGUGUUAUCCCAGAGCUUAACUUUGGAACUGGCAUUUAACUACCGAGCUAGAGUGUGUCAGAGGAGGUGGAAUUCCGCGUGUAGCAGGAAAUGCGUAGAUAUGCGGAGGAACAACGAUGGCGAAGGGCCUCCCGGGAUAACACUGACGCUCAUGCACGAAAGCGUGGGGAGCAAACAGGAUUAGAUACCCUGGCAGUUCACGCCCUAAAAACGAUGUCAAUUAGCCGUUGGGGCCUUCGGGCCUUGGUAGCGCAGCUAACGCGUGAAGCUGACCGCCUGGGGAGUACGGUCGCAAGAUUAAAAACUCAGCGAAUUGACGGGGACCCGCACAAGCGGUGGAUGAUGUGAUUAAUUCGAUGCAACGCGAAAACCUUACCUACCCUGACAUGUCUGAAUCCCGAGAGAUUUGGGAGUGCUCGCAAGAGAACCGGAACACAGGUGCUGCGGCUGUCGUCAGCUCGUGUCGUGAGAUGUUGGGUUAAGUCCCGCAACGAGCGCAACCCCCGUCAUUAGUUGCUACGAAAGGCACUCUAAUGAGACUGCCGGUGACAAACCGGAGGAAGGUGGGGGAUGACGUCAAGUCCCUAUGGCCCUGGCGGCAGGGGCUUCACACGUCAUACAAUGGUCGGGACAGAGGGUCGCCAACCCGCGAGGGAGCCAUCCCAGAAACCCGAUCGUAGUCCGGAUCGCAGUCUGCAACUCGACUGCGUGAAGUCGGAAUCGCUAGUAAUCGCGGAUCAGUGCGUCGCGGUGAAUACGUUCCCGGUCUGUACACACCGCCCGUCACACCAUGGGAGUGGGUUUUACCAGAAGUAGUUAGCCUAACCGUAAGGAGGGCGAUUACUACGGUAGGAUUCAUGAUUGGGGUGAAGUCGCAUGCGUAA
rnacentral:misc_RNA from 1 species